rnacentral:rRNA from 1 species
UACGAAGGGGACUAGCGUUGUUCGGAUUUACUGGGCGUAAAGCGCGCGUAGGCGGAUCGCUAAGUCAGGGGUGAAAGCCCAGGGCUCAGCCCUGGAACUGCCUUUGAUACUGACGAUCUGGAGAUCGGGAGAGGUUGGUGGAAUUCCGAGUGUAGAGGUGAAAUUCGUAGAUAUUCGGAGGAACACCAGAAGCGAAGGCGGCCAACUGGCCCGAUACUGACGCUGAGGCGCGAAAGCGUGGGGAGCAAACAGG